AAAUAAUUAUUAUUUGUGACGUCAUAACUCGAAUGCACGUUCCUUAAUUAUUUUUUAUUUUCACAAGUGAGAUUCAAUGGAGUUUUUAUUUUAUAAUCUGAGCAAUUUCAAGACCAAAUACUUUACUAGAUCUUGCAUACUCACUUUAAAAGUUAUGCAUUACAAUAAUUUUGUUAUUAAAAUAAGCGUUAUCACUUGCAUGUUUUUUUAAUCACUGAGUAGUGACGUCACUAUCUAAGUAUAAAUAAUAUUCACAUUACUGAGUGAUUCAGUCUUACUUUAACAUAUAAAAUGGAAAGCAGCUAUUAUAGCCUUAUAAGUUCAUACGUGUUUAUAAAGCAUUUGGAUAAUAAAAAAUUUAAUAUAAUUGUAUUAUUUAAAUAUUUAUAAAUUUCUAUUAGUCGAUAACGUCAUCGCUCUUUAAUUACCAUCGGGGCCCCCUUUGUAGUGACAAAAAUUCGCCAGGUGUGUCGUCAGUGGUACUACGUACGCUCACGCAAUGUCACGUGACAUACAAAAAAUACGCGCCAAAUUGCUAUUUGAACGAGAACUAUUCUGUCUUCUACACUCUAAUACUCGCGCCUCCAUAAAAAUCUCUGUAGAAAAUCGCUGAAGAAACAUCGACAAAUGUCGCGUUCUGCCAAUAAGUGCACAGAAAGCAUCCGAUUCUCAUUACGAGUCCCAGUCAUUCGAUUAAUAAGUUAUCUGAACGUCGAAAAGAUCGGAACUUUACGCGCGCUUAUCCGGACGCCAUGACAGUUUCAGCGGUGCAGCGGUUUGGAUCGGAGUGGACUCGCUCCGCAAUUAAUUGCGGAUUUUAUCGGUUAAAAUCACACGAGUCCGAAUGGGCGUGUCGAUUGAGGUGACGGGCGAUCUCCGGAGUCUAUCGGUUGUUGCUGGUCUUGGUGAUCUCUGCCGUUUCGUCCGUAACCAGGAUUGGUGGUUAUGAUGCAUCGAGUCCGGUGAGCGCAGAUUUCGAUGCCACAGCCAAACUGUUGUCUCGGGGGAGUCGAAGCGAUUGGUAUUUUCCAUUAGACACAGCAAUAUCGCGAAUUCCAAUUCUCGUGACGAUAUCACGGCUCGCUUACUUCCGGACAACACAAGACGCUUCGUGGACGACCGUACAGCCGUAGAAUGUUCAUGAAGAUACAUUAUUUAAAGUGGACGGACGAUGGGACAGGUUAGUUAACCUCGAAAUUGUACCCAUGAGAGACGGAAGAGAGGAGAUGCAUGAAAAAUAGCUGCAUGCAGAUUGGAGAUUGGCACUCAACCCUCCCCUCACCGCCCAAAAAGAAGCAUCUACAAAGAUGCUUUCGUAUGUUUUACUGUCGUGAGCGGUUUAUGAUGCGUCGAAGGAUGUAUGAGGCCUCGGAGGCAUCAAACGAUGGUGGAACGACUAGAGGGUAAAUAAAUUAUUAUUUAUAUAUGCAACAAUUAUCUUUUGAAAUAUUAAUUAUUUUAAACGAUGCUAUAAUUUGGAUAUGCUUGUAUGUUACAGUCCGACAUAGAGUUCACCGUAGUUCAACUCCGCUGCUGCGCAUCGUAUCGGUGAGUGAUAAAUUACAGUUUAUUAGAUAUUAUUUGAGGUAAAUCUAUAAAAGAUAUACAAAAUAUAUGCCGUACAUAUAUAUUACAAAUUGAGAAUAUAAAAAUAUUAUAACUGAGAGAUCUGUUUUAAAAUUAUACACUGAGAAACUCAUAUGGUUGAAUCAACUAAACUCUUGUUUGGGUAUGGGCAAACAAAUACAUUGGUUGACGCAACAAAAGAAUGUAGUUGAAAUAUUUUGUAAUACUACACUGACAAAUUCAUAUGGUUGAAUUAACUAAAUUUUUAUUUGGAUAUGGAUUUUGUUGCGUCAAUCAAUCUAUUUGUUUGUUCACAUUCAAACAAGAGUUUAACAAAACGGGUUUAAUUAAACAGGUUUCUCAGUGUAGAACAAAUAUUCAUUAUGCUUACGAAAAUUUUAUAUAAUUUUAUAUGUAUAUACUAAUGUAUAUACUAAGAACACAAGAUCAAGUUUAAAUCAAUACAUUAAUUAAAAUACCUGGCGUAUUUCUGUGUCAUUAAUUGCAUUUUAUUAUAUGACAAAACAUUCUACUUAAAUGUAUUACGUAUAUUUAAAAUUUACACACAUAAAGUCUCGUAAAUAAAAUAUAAAC